CCUGCCCCCCUCCACCCGUUCUACUGAGUGGGACCGCCGCACGGCCAGGGAUGCAAGACAGAGAGUGACUGGACAGCUGUCACAACUGCUGGACAGGACAUCUCGAUAAGGAACGUUUUAAGGAGCUUAUGGCCACAUUCAUCUAAAGGAAAAUACACACACAUUAAGCAGUACAUGUCGAGCAGAGUUUUUGGCAGAAGAAUGAUGACUCUGAUUUUAAAUCUUGUUUAUUUUCUCUUUAUACCCACCAGUGUGUUCUCAACUCCUCUGAGCAAGGUAUCAACAUACUGUUCAUCUUCGCUGGGUGCUUUGCUGACCCCCUCCUCAUGCCUCUGUAUGUUACACAAUGCACAGGGAGGAUGGGAUGUGCAAGUGCAUGGGUCAUUGGGAUGCUGUUUGGGAGACUGGA